GGGGAAUAUUGCACAAUGGGCGCAAGCCUGAUGCAGCCAUGCCGCGUGUGUGAAGAAGGCCUUCGGGUUGUAAAGCACUUUCAGCGGGGAGGAAGGCAGUACGGUUAAUAACCGUGUUGAUUGACGUUACCCGCAGAAGAAGCACCGGCUAACUCCGUGCCAGCAGCCGCGGUAAUACGGAGGGUGCAAGCGUUAAUCGGAAUUACUGGGCGUAAAGCGCACGCAGGCGGUCUGUCAAGUCGGAUGUGAAAUCCCCGGGCUCAACCUGGGAACUGCAUUCGAAACUGGCAGGCUUGAGUCUUGUAGAGGGGGGUAGAAUUCCAGGUGUAGCGGUGAAAUGCGUAGAGAUCUGGAGGAAUACCGGUGGCGAAGGCGGCCCCCUGGACAAAGACUGACGCUCAGGUGCGAAAGCGUGGGGAGCAAAC
rnacentral:rRNA from 1 species